rnacentral:rRNA from 1 species
GACGAACGCUGGCGGCGUGCUUAACACAUGCAAGUCGAACGCUGAAGCUCAGCUUUUGUUGGGUGGAUGAGUGGCGAACGGGUGAGUAACACGUGAGUAACCUGCCUCCUUCUUUGGGAUAACGCCCGGAAACGGGUGCUAAUACUGGAUAUUCACUGGUCUUCGCAUGGGGGUUGGUGGAAAGGGUUUUUCUGGUGGGGGAUGGGCUCGCGGCCUAUCAGCUUGUUGGUGGGGUGAUGGCCUACCAAGGCUUUGACGGGUAGCCGGCCUGAGAGGGUGACCGGUCACAUUGGGGCUGAGAUACGGCCCAGACUCCUACGGGAGGCAGCAGUGGGGAAUAUUGCACAAUGGGCGCAAGCCUGAUGCAGCGACGCCGCGUGGGGGAUGGAGGCCUUCGGGUUGUGAACCUCCUUCGCUCAUGGUCAAGCCGCAACAAUGGUUGUGGUGAGGGUAGUGGGUAAAGAAGCGCCGGCUAACUACGUG